CUUCGUGCCUUAGAACGGUUGUUUUUCUACACAGCGUGAUUCUGUAGGUUGUCUGGGCUCAGCGAGGUGGUUUCUGCUUAGCAGUCUUCUGGGACUGCAGUUAUCCAGGGGUCCAGCUGGUUUGGGCUGUGCAAUGGAGCACUCAAUGGCAGCAGCUGGUGCUGGGCCACCACAGGAAGCACUCUGAAACCUCAGCAGGCACCCUUGGUUCUCCUCUGCAUGGCGUCUCUCUGUGGCCCGAGCAUCUCCCAGCAUGGCAGCCAGCUUCGAAGAGGAAGAAAACCCCGACUGCCAGUUCUCCUAAGGGAUGGGUACAGGAGAAAAAUCAUUUCUUUGCUCAAAGUAAUAUGCUUGUUUUUCUAAUUCUUUCAACAUCUACCAGAACGGAUGUUUCUGAAGCCUGCAUUGGACCCUGACUGUCACAGACAUAAACUCUCAAAGGUUCUCCGUGGAUGGACCCCAGGAGCAACUCAGAUGCAAACACUGCCACAAGCAAGCACGUGAGGACAUCUCCCAGAUGUGCCACUUACCAGCAGAGGACACUGUGGUUUGACCACUGAAAGUCGAGAGAAACAGACUCAAACCGUUGCUCCGCCUGAAAGAAUAAGGGCCACAGCCAUCAAAUCCUGCCAGCGUCCCCACCAAAGCAUGUUAUGAGUCCACCUGCUCUUUCAGUGACUUCCCUCCUGGGCCAGGGCCAGCACAUCACCUGCUCGUCACCCUGCCCGCCUGCAGGUCAGCACUCUCUUUGUAUGUUUUGUCUUGUUUUUUGCUUUGUUUGGUUUGUGUGUUUGUGUGU
rnacentral:lncRNA from 1 species